GGGGUUGUGGCUCAGUGGCAGAGCAUCCACUUGACAUGCAGAAGGCGCCAGGUUCAAUUCCUGGCAUCUCCA